rnacentral:rRNA from 1 species
UACGAAGGGGGCUAGCGUUGUUCGGAAUUACUGGGCGUAAAGCGCACGUAGGCGGAUAUUUAAGUCAGGGGUGAAAUCCCAGAGCUCAACUCUGGAACUGCCUUUGAUACUGGGUAUCUUGAGUAUGGAAGAGGUGAGUGGAAUUCCGAGUGUAGAGGUGAAAUUCGUAGAUAUUCGGAGGAACAUCAGUGGCGAAGGCGGCUCACUGGUCCAUUACUGACGCUGAGGUGCGAAAGCGUGGGGAGCAAACAGG